rnacentral:rRNA from 1 species
CUGGCGGCGUGCCUAACACAUGCAAGUCGAACGAAGCAUUUAAGUGAAUCCCUUCGGGGGUGAAGCUUUUAUGACUUAGUGGCGGACGGGUGAGUAACGCGUGAGUAACCUGCCUUUCAGAGGGGGAUAACAGUCGGAAACGACUGCUAAUACCGCAUAACGUAUUGAGAUCGCAUGACCUUGAUACCAAAGCUGAGGCGCUGAAAGAUGGACUCGCGUCCGAUUAGGUAGUUGGUGGGGCAAUGGCCUACCAAGCCGACGAUCGGUAGCCGGACUGAGAGGUUGAACGGCCACAUUGGAACUGAGAUACGGUCCAGACUCCUACGGGAGGCAGCAGUGGGGAAUAUUGGGCAAUGGGCGAAAGCCUGACCCAGCGACGCCGCGUGAGGGAAGAAGAUCUUCGGAUUGUAAACCUUAGUUAGCAGGGAAGAAGAAAGUGACGGUACCUGCAGAGAAAGCCACGGCUAACUACGUG